CCCAGUUUUUGAUUUUCAAAAUCUGGUCACCCUGCAUUUAGUAGAUAAUCUAUGUUUUGAUUGCAGGUCAAAACACACUUCUAAUGGCUGACAACCACUAGAGGGUGCUUCCAUGGCAACAACUGAGUUUCGGUUAUGUAAAAUUCAGAGUUGAACGUCAUCAAAUGCUAAUCACAGGGAAGCAUUGGAUUCAAUGCUUCCCUAUGAGAAGCAUUUAUU